rnacentral:lncRNA from 1 species
UGAAACAUACUUGCCAUUGUGUCUGUCUAUCUUUACUUUUUUUUUUUGUCCCAGGUUUAUUGAACAUAAUACAGCAUUGCAGAAGAGAUUCAAACAGGUCCCUGAGGCAUUUUAAAAUUCAUCCCAACUGCAGGCUGAGUGACCUGCAGAUUGGACAGACUGCUGAAGUCCAAAAGCUUCAGCAUUUCCUUAGUGUCAGGAUCUACUUAAAUGAUCUUCUGAUCCAGGGCUGAGACCUCAGGAACGUAAUUGUCUCUCCUUUCUCUCUCCUGCAGCUUGAUGGAGGUACAUCUUACUGGGCCUCUCAGAAUCUGCUUCAUUAGAUGCGUGACAUAGCCUAUCUUGUAUUGGAGCUUCUUGCUAGGAAUAAUGGUGAUCUCCUUGCACACACUCUUGUUUGUGUGGAAGUCAUUGCUCAGGAAAUAGGUGAAGUGAGGAAUCCUUUUAUGCCCCACCUACUGUAAGGAUCACAGAGUACUUAGGUGAAGUCCAAUGGGACAACGAAGUAUGCACAUGAACAGAAGAGAUACAUGCAGUAUGCAUGCAAUGGGCUGAAUGAGCAGAGGAUAUGCAAAUAAUAUGCAUGUAAAAUAUGUAUAUAAAAUCCUAGCCCUCAACGUGAUGAUAUUAGGAGGUGUAAGGAAAUUAGUCAUGAGCGUGAAGUCUUCACGAAUAGUAUUAGUGCCUUAUUAAAGGGGUCCCAGAGAGAGAGCUCUCUUGCCCUCUUUCCACCAUGUGGGGAUCCAGGAAGACAGCCAUUUGCCAGCCAGGAGCAAGUCUGCAUCAGGACCUGACCAUGCUGGCAUACCGAUCUUGGACUCCCAGACUUCAGAAUUGUGAGAAAUAAAUUUCUGUUGUUUUUAAGAC